AAUGAUGUAAUUAGAAUUGUGAAUGCUUGCUUGUAUCAUGAGAAAUCGCGAUUUGAAGAUAAGAACAUAAACCCUAAGUGAGUCGAUUCGAGAGAUUGAGGAACUUUUAGGUCAUGAUAGUAUGAUAUUUGUGAUCCUCUUGUUGAGACGGUUACAACGAGUAUGGCCGCGUCCAUUUCUGUUAACAUUUGAUGUUCAUGUGAUUUUCGAAAUUCUGGAAAAUGUGUGAGGAAGACGAUGGAAAAGUUGAGUUUGAUCCAAAAUCCAGUUUGAAAUUUCGAAUUUAGUGUUUCCCGCCGGCGCUUCUUUUAAUUACCAUUAUG
rnacentral:lncRNA from 1 species